GGGCACAGCUCCCUGGGCACAGCCGAGCCCGUGCCCUUCUCCCCGGUGACCGCUCGCUCGCUCGCUCGCUCUGAGUCACCAGGAAAUCUGAUAAGGCUCCGCUGAAACCUCUGGAGCAGCCUGGGGGGGCCGCUGGCACCGCGGCCGGCUCAGCCUCCCUGAUUUCUUGGCUCUCCUCCAGCACCCUGGCUGUCGCAGGUGUGUGAUCAGAACAACCCAAACCUGCUUUGCUGCCCAAACUUCAGGAGCUGAGGGGCCUUUUGGUAAAGAUGCAGCCCUUAAUUCUUGUGAGAAGUGCAUGGGCCCUUGCCAUGGCAUGUGGCAGCUGAGCCUCGAGCUUUGAAGGUGACGUUUGCUGGUUUGCCCCAGCUACACUCUUGAUUUAAUCCUCCCAAAGCGCUAGUGGUCAGAGGAUGCAGGGAAUAGGGAGGGCGGGAGGGGAGCAGCAUGGAAAAUCAUCCCCAAACGUGACCCAUCCAUUAAAGCACAUCAUCAGCCCCAGCAGGAACACGCUAGGUGUGUCAAUUCCUCUUUUCCGUUUGGCCGUGUGCUGGGCAGCCAGAUUAAUCUGUUUUAGCAAUUAGGCAAGAAACCCUGAGCGUUUCUCGUUCUGAAGGGCUUAGUCAUAUCUGGGUGAGAAGCCUGAGCUGGUGAUGUGGGCAAAACCCCGGGGGCUGCUUGGCCUCCCGAGGCAGUUCCUGGAAGCAGAGCAGGUACAGAACAGCUGGAAAUGCUCCAAAGGAUUUGGGUUGGUGCAGGUUCUUGGCCAAGUGGAGAUUUCCUUGCUCUGGCCUGUUUUAACCUGCAGACAAAUCCCAGUCCAGCUCCAGGUGUCUGCAGGACAAAGCACUUUACAGGCCACAGCCCUGUUCCACGAAGAUCCUCUCCAGGUGUGGCUCUCCUGCAGGAGCUGCGCUGCUGGGAGAACACCUUGUUUGCAUUCCCCAGCUUUCACACUGCACCAGCCAACUCCAGCUCUGACAGCCAGGACCAGCAAGUCCUGCUUGGGCCCAGCCUGGCACUCCUGUCACCAGCCUGAGAGAAAAUCCAGCUCCCAUGGCCCAGUUUCCUCUGCACCAGCAAGGAAAACUUCCAUGUCAAGGGCAUCUGAAUUUUCGGCGUGGAGCUUUGGGUCCCCAUGGAGAUUGCAUCUGUGGAAAGAAGAUAAAACCCUUUUGUGAGGAUGGAUCCCGGUUAUUAUUUGUUUAAUUAGAAUCUGGACUGAUGCAGAGGCAACAAUUAACAAUUACCUUCCGUGGAGGACUUUGACAGCAGCUGAAUUGGUUUAAUGACUUGCAGGAUGGAGACAAAUCACUGCAGCUGCCAUUCAUGAGGCUGGAGGUGCGAGGAGGAGUCCCCGGGCCCGAUGUCUCUGAUUUAAGGGGCUUUUCCUCCUUCUUUUGGAAUGACCAAGCAGGAAUUUUCCUCCGCCGUGCAGCUGGGAUUAUCCGGGAGCCAGGGAAUUAAGUUCCAAAUGAAAAUUUAAACUAUUCAUUACGCUUUAUUAGCAGGCUUCAGGAAUGCUUAAUUGUAGAAAUAAAUUACAGGAGAGGUGAGUGGGUAA